rnacentral:rRNA from 1 species
GACGAACGCUGGCGGCGUGCUUAACACAUGCAAGUCGAACGAAAAGAGGGAAAGAGCUUGCUCUUUCCGGAAUUGAGUGGCAAACGGGUGAGUAACACGUAAACAACCUGCCUUCAGGAUGGGGACAACAGACGGAAACGACUGCUAAUACCGAAUAAGUUCCAAGAGCCGCAUGGCCCAUGGAAGAAAAGGUGGCCUCUACCUGUAAGCUAUCGCCUGAAGAGGGGUUUGCGUCUGAUUAGCUGGUUGGAGGGGUAACGGCCCACCAAGGCGACGAUCAGUAGCCGGUCUGGGAGGAUGAACGGCCACACUGGAACUGAGACACGGUCCAGACUCCUACGGGAGGCAGCAGUGGGGAAUCUUCCGCAAUGGGCGAAAGCCUGACGGAGCAACGCCGCGUGAGUGAUGACGGCCUUCGGGUUGUAAAACUCUGUGAUCCGGGACGAAAAGGCAGAGUGCGAAGAACAAACUGCAUUGACGGUACCGGAAAAGCAAGCCACGGCUAACUACGUG